AUGUGCCUGAGGGUCUUCGACGCCGACACCAACUACGAGUCCGACAGGCUGCACACGCAGAUGUUCGCACCGGCGGUGAUGUCGGGGCUCAUAUGCGGCGACGGGAUAUGGUCGAUGCAGUCUCCGUUGUUGUUGCUAGGCAACGUGGAACCGCCCAUGUGCCUUAGGGUCUUCGACACCGGCACCAACUACGAGGUGGAGCAGUUCCUCGCGACCUUACCCAUCCCGCUGGCGUAG
rnacentral:rRNA from 1 species